UGGGUGCUAAAGUAUUCUUUUAGAGUAAUCCAAGGCAAUAUCAGUGACAAGGUUUUUUAGACACUAUCUAAAAUAUGGCAGAUGAGUUCGCCAUCAGGAAAAAUGUUUCUCAGGAGACAGGAUCAUAUAUUGGUAGCUCUGAUUUUAUUCAAUCUGCUGGUCAAAAGUAUAGAGAGAGAUGUCUUGUUAUGUGGAAUCCAGCCAUGCCCAUUUGGGGAUGGGGGUGUGGUUUGCUGCAAGGUAUUUCAAUGCAGCAAUGAAUAAAAUACUUCCCCCCCGCCCCCAGGUUUGCAUAAUAUUAUGUAUAGGCAUGCAAACACAGGCUCUACUGCCAUCAAAACUCUUAAUCAAGGGCCUUAUAAAACUCUCCCCACAGACAAAGGAGUUUAGGAAGCAGUUCAUCUCAGCCUGAGCUAGACAUCUACAAUAAGCCAGAUGAACUGGUCCCUUUGCUCCUGGAAGCAGACAGACAACAGCAGACAGAAGAUGGAAUGGUGCUGACUGUGAACAGGAAUAUAAAGAGGUCCCAGGAUGGCUGUCUGUGAAACUUCAGUGAUGACCCCCACCAAGAUUUCAGCGACAUGUGCAGCAGUAUCCUGGCAGUCUUGACUGAAAGAAUGAUCCUGUGUGUUUUAGCUGGAUCUCCUUUGCUACAAUCCAUAACAGAUGCCAUUGGUGUUUUUGUUACUAUCGCUACUUGAUGGCUUUCUCCAACCGCACUUCACAUUCCUGGAGCUGAAAGAUUUGUUCUCUUAGCCACCAAGAAACACUACACUCUUAUUUUGGAGUCUCCCUGCAUUCCAAGAUAGCACUGGCAACAGGGGACACGCAAGGGUCAACAGCUCCUCAUCCAGCAGCACAACCUCAUUCAUUGCAGCAAAGAGGUUUUCAGAGUUUGGGAAUGCCCUGAAGAGUUUUACCUUCUGUGUCCCAAAAUGGAUGUCAUUUGCUCUUUGUUCCUAGGCAACCCAGGGAGACACAGACAGCUGUUGUCAAAUAUUCUGCAACCAAAUUGUCCCUUCUUGGCACUGAAAAAUCUCACUGAGCUCACUGGGGGUCUUGAAUUCAUACUGGGCAUCUUUGAUUGGUUUGUUGAUUGGUAAUGGCAUCUUUGUGCCAUUGCUAGACUAAGGAAAAGCUGGCAGCAGCUUAAAGUGUGGUGUGUAAUGGCAUUUGCAAAAAAUUGUUCCUAAAACACCUUACCUCCUGUAGCAACUGUGAAAAUGAAGGUGAGAAUUUUUAGCCAUAUACACCUUCAGCUGAGUGAAAUUCUGCCCUGGAUUUUGUUUCUGUUAACCUGGUAAAUGAGAUGCACAGUUGUAAAUUAGGUCUGUACUGGGCCAUGGAUAAUAUAAACAAUACUGAGAUUAAAGUGUAAAAAGGAGAGAGCAAGGUGUUUUGGCAAGAUAUUUUCAACUCCUGCAACAUUUUUAUACUAGUACAUCUGAGAUGUGAGGUGUGAAUAGCUGACAUACCCUUGGUCUGAGGAGUUGUCACCAGCUUUCAGGCUUUUUUUUUCUCACAAGUGUCAAACUUUUGCAAAUAACCUAGGCAGCUCCUUUUCAGUCACAGCAUAUAACCCUGGUCAUAUCAGAUGGAAUGACCAUGACACAGUGACAUUUCUAUUUACCCAUUUCCACUACUAGAAAUUAAAGAUCACAUUUCCAAGUUACCUCUGACAAUAUUGUGUUAUUGCUUCCCUGCAAAGAAACGAGACAGAUAAUUUUUCUGUUCCUUUCCAGACCUGCCACUCUAUUUUAAUUUUUUUUACCAACAAAUUUUUCAUUUCCUGUUAAUUUUUAGUCUAAGAUAAAUAGUUUACUCCAGGAGAAGCAGUCUGGCAGUGAUUGUACACACCUAACAGUUUGUUGAAUAAAGACUGGAAACACAUGAUCUAGUAUUCACAU